GAUGAACGCUGGCGGCGUGCCUAAUACAUGCAAGUCGAGCGAACAGACGAGGAGCUUGCUCCUCUGACGUUAGCGGCGGACGGGUGAGUAACACGUGGAUAACCUACCUAUAAGACUGGGAUAACUUCGGGAAACCGGAGCUAAUACCGGAUAAUAUAUUGAACCGCAUGGUUCAAUAGUGAAAGACGGUUUUGCUGUCACUUAUAGAUGGAUCCGCGCCGCAUUAGCUAGUUGGUAAGGUAACGGCUUACCAAGGCGACGAUGCGUAGCCGACCUGAGAGGGUGAUCGGCCACACUGUAACUGAGACACGGUCCAGACUCCUACGGGAGGCAGCAGUAGGGAAUCUUCCGCAAUGGGCGAAAGCCUGACGGAGCAACGCCGCGUGAGUGAUGAAGGUCUUCGGAUCGUAAAACUCUGUUAUUAGGGAAGAACAAAUGUGUAAGUAACUAUGCACGUCUUGGCGGUACCUAAUCAGAAAGCCACGGCUAACUACGUG
rnacentral:rRNA from 1 species